GAUGAACGCUGGCGGCGUGCCUAAUACAUGCAAGUCGAGCGAACGGACGAGAAGCUUGCUUCUCUGAUGUUAGCGGCGGACGGGUGAGUAACACGUGGAUAACCUACCUAUAAGACUGGGAUAACUUCGGGAAACCGGAGCUAAUACCGGAUAAUAUUAUGAACCGCAUGGUUCAAAAGUGAAAGACGGUCUUGCUGUCACUUAUAGAUGGAUCCGCGCUGCAUUAGCUAGUUGGUAAGGUAACGGCUUACCAAGGCAACGAUGCAUAGCCGACCUGAGAGGGGGAUCGGCCACACUGGAACUGAGAGACGGUCCAGACUCCUACGGGAGGCAGCAGUAGGGAAUCGUCCGCAAUGGGCGAAAGCCUGACGGAGCAACGCCGCGUGAGUGAUGAAGGUCUUCGGAUCGUAAAACUCUGUUAUUAGGGAAGAACAUAUGUGUAAGUAACUGUGCACAUCUGGACGGUACCUAAUCAGAAAGCCACGGCUAACUACGU
rnacentral:rRNA from 1 species